CCCUACGGGGGGCAGCAGUGAGGAAUAUUGGUCAAUGGGCUUACGCCUGAACCAGCCAAGUCGCGUGAGGGAAGACUGCCCUAUGGGUUGUAAACCUCUUUUGUCGGGGAGCAAGACCCGCCACGAGUGGCGGAGCGAGAGUACCCGAAGAAAAAGCAUCGGCUAACUCCGUGCCAGCAGCCGCGGUAAUACGGAGGAUGCGAGCGUUAUCCGGAUUUAUUGGGUUUAAAGGGUGCGCAGGCGGACCAUCAAGUCAGCGGUAAAAUCGUGGGGCCCAACCCCAUCCCGCCGUUGAAACUGGCGGG
rnacentral:rRNA from 1 species